rnacentral:rRNA from 2 species
CGAUCUUUGACAACGGGAAAUAAGGGUCAAGUUAGUAAGGGCAUGCGGUGAAUGCCUAGGCAUCAGAUGGCGAAGAAGGACGCAGCAGGCUGCGAAAAGCCACGGGGAGUUGCGAGUAAGCGUAGAUCCGUGGAUAUCCGAAUGGGGAAACCCGGCAAGGGUAAAACCUUGUCAUCUUAAGGUGAAUACAUAGCCUUAUGAGGCGAACCCGGGGAAGUGAAACAUCUCAGUACCCGGAGGAAGAGAAAUCAAAAGAGAUUCCCUCAGUAGCGGCGAGCGAAAGGGGAAGAGCCCAAACCCGGGAAGGCACUGAGUCUAUGAGAGUGUCUGUAUUGUCAGUUUUUAUCAGUUGAGGUACAGGGGAUCAUAGAUUGAGAGUCUUCUCGGGGGUUGUAGGACCGCGUAAGCAAUUAUGACUAUAUAGUCGAACGUGUAUGGAACGAUGGACCAUAGAAGGUGAUAGUCCUGUAGACGAAAUAUAGUUGUAAUGCGGCGGUAUCCUGAGUACUACGGGACACGUGGAAUCCCGUGGGAAGCUGGGGGGACCACCCUCCAAGGCUAAAUACACGCUGAUGACCGAUAGCGCAUAGUACCGUGAGGGAAAGGUGAAAAGAACCCCGGUGAGGGGAGUGAAAUAGAACCUGAAACCGUAUGCCUACAAUCAAUCAGAGCAUGAGGCAGCGAUGUCGCAUGUGAUGGUAUGCCUUUUGAUUAAUGAGCCGGCGAGUUGUUGUUUGCAGCGAGGUUAAUCUCGUCAACGAGAGGAGCCGUAGGGAAACCGAGUCUGAAUAGGGCGAAUUAGUUGCAGAUAGCAGACCCGAAGCCAGUUGAUCUACCCAUGGUCAGGGUGAAGCGAGGGUAAGACCUCGUGGAGGCCCGAACCGGUGUUUGUUGCAAAAAGCUCGGAUGAACUGUGGGUAGGAGCGAAAGACUAAUCAAAACUGGUGAUAGCUGGUUCUCCCCGAAAUGUAUUUAGGUACAGCCUCUGCUAAGAGUCUGUAGGGGGUAGGGCACUGGAUGGGCUAGGGCUCCGCAAGGGGUACCAAACCUAACCAAACCUCGAAUACCUAUCAGAUGUUUGCAGGGAGUGAGACUGCGGGUGCUAAGAUUCGUAGUCGAGAGGGAAAAAGCCCAGACCGUCAGCUAAGGUCCCCAAGGCAGUGCUAAGUGGAAAAGGAUGUGGAGUUGCGUAGACAACCAGGAUGUUGGCUUAGAAGCAGCCACCAUUCAAAGAAAGCGUAAUAGCUCACUGGUCAAGCGAUUCUGCGCCGAAAAUUUAACGGGGCUAAAGCACUGCACCGAAGCUACGGAAUGCAGCAAUGCAUUGGUAGGGGAGCAUUCUGUAAGCCUGUGAAGGUGGCACGCGAGUGUUGCUGGAGGUAUCAGAAGAGAAUAUGUCGGCAUAAGUAGCGCAAAGACUGAUGAGAAGUCAGUCCGCCGUAAACCUAAGGUUUCCUGGGGAAGGUAAAUCCGCCCAGGGUUAGUCGGUCCUAAGAUGAGGCCGCGAGGCGUAAUCGAUGGACAGCAGGUUAAUAUUCCUGCACCACCAUGUAGUCGUUGAUCCUAGGGGUGACGCAGAAGGAUAGUUUGAGCCCGGUGAUGGUUCGGGUCCAAGCGUUUAGGCUGGUGAGUAGGCAAAUCCGCUCACCGUUAAAGCUGAGGCGUGAUGGGGAGUCCGUUAAGGACGAACUCAGGUGAUUCCACGCUGACAAGAAAAACCUCGAGAGGAGAUUGCAAGGUGACCGUACCGCAAACCAACAAAGGUAGGUGGGUAGAAGAUACCAAGGCGUUCGAGAGAAACCUCGCUAAGGAACUCGGCAAAAUAAUCCCGUAACUUCGGGAGAAGGGAUCCCUAUGAAAGUAGGGCGCAGAGAAAUGGCCCAAGCGACUGUUUACCAAAAACACAGGAGCCUGCAAACUCGUAAGAGGAAGUAUAGGCUCUGACGCCUGCCCGGUGCCGGAAGGUUAAUGGGAGAUGUUAUCGCAAGAGAAGCAUUGAACUGAAGCCCCGGUAAACGGCGGCCGUAACUAUAACGGUCCUAAGGUAGCGAAAUUCCUUGUCGGGUAAGUUCCGACCUGCACGAAUGGCGUAACGAUUUGGGCGCUGUCUCGGCGAGGUACUCGGCGAACUUAAGUUACCGGUGAAGACGCCGGUUACCCGCAGCUAGACGGAAAGACCCUGUGCACCUUUACUGCAGCUUGGCAUUGAGUUGUGGUGUAAUAUGUGUAGGAUAGGUGGGAGGCUAUGAAGUGUGGACGCUAGUCCACGUGGAGCCGUCCUUGAAAUACCACCCUUAUUAUACUGGGACUCUAACCUGCUCCCGUAAUCCGGGAGAGGGACAGUGUCUGGCAGGCAGUUUGACUGGGGCGGUCGCCUCCCAAAAGGUAACGGAGGCGCCCAAAGGUUCCCUCAGGCUGGACGGAAAUCAGCCGCAGAGUGUAAAGGCAGAAGGGAGCUUGACUGCGAGAGAGACAUCUCAAGCAGGUACGAAAGUAGGGCUUAGUGAUCCGGUGGCUCUGAGUGGAAGGGCCAUCGCUCAACGGAUAAAAGGUACGCCGGGGAUAACAGGCUUAUCGCGUCCAAGAGUUCACAUCGACGACGCGGUUUGGCACCUCGAUGUCGACUCAUCGCAUCCUGGGGCUGAAGUAGGUCCCAAGGGUUCGGCUGUUCGCCGAUUAAAGCGGUACGAGAGUUGGGUUCAGAACGUCGUGAGACAGUUCGGUCCCUAUCUGCUGUGGGCGCAGGAGACUUGAGAAGGUCUGUCCUUAGUACGAGAGGACCGGGAUGGACGAACCUCUAGUGUUCCAGUUGUCAUGCCAAUGGCAAUGCUGGGUAGCUAUGUUCGGUAGGGAUAACCGCUGAAAGCAUCUAAGUGGGAAACCCGCUUCAAGAUUAUGUCUCCCGGGGAGUAAUCCCCCUAAAGGCCCGUGGAAGACCACCACGUUGAUAGGCUGGAGGUGUAAGUGUGGUAACACAUUGAGCUGACCAGUACUAAUAGGCCGUGAGACUUGAC